rnacentral:rRNA from 1 species
AGUGAACGCUGGCGGUAGGCCUAGCACAUGCAAGUCGAACGGCAGCACAGUAAGAGCUUGCUCUUACGGGUGGCGAGUGGCGGACGGGUGAGGAAUACAUCGGAAUCUACUUUUUCGUGAGGGAUAACGUAGGGAAACUUACGCUAAUACCGCAUACGACCUACGGGUGAAAGCAGGGGAUCUUCGGACCUUGCGCGAUUGAAUGAGCCGAUGUCGGAUUAGCUAGUUGGCGGGGUAAAGGCCCACCAAGGCGACGAUCCGUAGCUGGUCUGAGAGGAUGAUCGGCAAAAAGGGAGAGGGGAAACGGACCAGAGUCCAAGGGGAGGCAGAGGUGGGAAAAAUUGAAAAAGGGGCGAAAGCCUGAACAAGCAAAACGGCGUGGGUGAAGAAGGCCUUCGGGUGGUAAAGCCCUUUUGUGGGGAAAGAAAAGCAGCAGGUUAAAACCCCGCUGUUCUGACGGAACCAAAAGAAUAAGCACCGGCUAACUUCGU